rnacentral:rRNA from 1 species
CUGCCCAAGAGACUGGGAUAACACCUGGAAACAGAUGCUAAUACCGGAUAACAACACUAGACGCAUGUCUAGAGUUUGAAAGAUGGUUCUGCUAUCGCUCUUGGAUGGACCUGCGGUGCAUUAGCUAGUUGGUAAGGUAACGGCUUACCAAGGCAAUGAUGCAUAGCCGAGUUGAGAGACUGAUCGGCCACAUUGGGACUGAGACACGGCCCAAACUCCUACGGGAGGCAGCAGUAGGGAAUCUUCCACAAUGGACGAAAGUCUGAUGGAGCAACGCCGCGUGAGUGAAGAAGGGUUUCGGCUCGUAAAGCUCUGUUGGUAGUGAAGAAAGAUAGAGGUAGUAACUGGCCUUUAUUUGACGGUAAUUACUUAGAAAGUCACGGCUAACUACGUGCCAGCAGCCGCGGUAAUACGUAGGUGGCAAGCGUUGUCCGGAUUUAUUGGGCGUAAAGCGAGUGCAGGCGGUUCAAUAAGUCUGAUGUGAAAGCCUUCGGCUCAACCGGAGAAUUGCAUCAGAAACUGUUGAACUUGAGUGCAGAAGAGGAGAGUGGAACUCCAUGUGUAGCGGUGGAAUGCGUAGAUAUAUGGAAGAACACCAGUGGCGAAGGCGGCUCUCUGGUCUGCAACUGACGCUGAGGCUCGAAAGCAUGGGUAGCGAACAGGAUUAGAUACCCUGGUAGUCCAUGCCGUAAAC